AUGACGACUAGCGGCAGGCUUAAUACAUGCAAGUUGAGGGGCAGCAUGAUAUACGCGAGUAUAUUGAUGGCGACCGGCGGACGGGUGAGUAAUAGGUAGGAGACCUACCUCAUACAGGGGGAUAGCAUAGAGAAAUCUGUGGUAAUACCCCAUGAGGUUAUAUGAAUAGAGGCAUAUAAUCAAAGCAUAAGCGAUUAUGCGGUAUGAGAGGGGCCUACUGACCAUUAGCUAGUUGGUGAGGUAAGGGCUCACCAAGGCGAAGAUGGUUAGGGGUUUUGAGAGAGAGACCCCCCCACAUUGGAACUGAGAGACGGUCCAGACUCCUACGGGAGGCAGCAGUAGGGAAUAUUGGGCAAUGGGCGAAAGCCUGACCCAGCCAUGCCGCGUGAAGGAAGACGGCCUUAUGGGUUGUAAACUUCUUUACUACGCGAAUAGAGGUUAGUACAAGAUACUAAUAGAAAAAUAGUGUAGUAAAAAGCACCGGCUAACUCCGUG
rnacentral:rRNA from 1 species